rnacentral:rRNA from 1 species
UACGGAGGGGGCUAGCGUUGUUCGGAAUUACUGGGCGUAAAGCGCACGUAGGCGGACCAGAAAGUUGGGGGUGAAAUCCCGGGGCUCAACCUCGGAACUGCCUUCAAAACUAUUGGUCUGGAGUUCGAGAGAGGUGAGUGGAAUUCCGAGUGUAGAGGUGAAAUUCGUAGAUAUUCGGAGGAACACCAGUGGCGAAGGCGGCUCACUGGACCAUUACUGACGCUGAGGUGCGAAAGCGUGGGGAGCAAACAGG